rnacentral:lncRNA from 1 species
AUAUGCCUUGGGUGUUUAUUAAUAGGCACUUUGGAAAAUCAUUCAAGCCACUGGCUUCCUUCAUUUUAGUGACGGGAAAUAGUAAUUUACUAAAUAGCAACUCAUUAAUGUGAAAGAGUUAAUGGAAAGACUAUGUUAUGCAUUUUGAUAACCUACUUCAAUAAAUAUAAGCACAUAAUGAUGAUUAUUUAGAAAUAUAAGCAGCAACAGUAAAUCUAAAUAAAGCCAUUAUUUACAAAGCUAUGGCCAGUAAUAUUUUCCCACAUAUUGUUAGGAUGAAAAUGAUUUUCUUGUCUUUUUAUUCUAGAUUGUUGAUCAUUUAUAAUUAAGGAGAAAAGAAAAUCAUUUCCGAGGAAGUCCAAAGAAAAGAACUUGGACUAAGGAUGACAAUAGCUGUUCUUUGCCCUUGAAACUGUUCUGGGUAUUAUGAAGUGAUCUCUUUUCCCUUUCUGUUUAUUUUACUCACAAAACAAAGCAUUCUUGGCAUCACAGUAUUGGUGGGUCUCCUCUGCUUUUGCUGUAUAAACAGUUUCCCGGUGAGAAGGGAUGUGAAAUAUUGCAGGGUUGAGGGAGACAUACAACAAGAUGAUUUCUUCCCUUUUCUUUCCUGGAACCAAUCUGAAUGAAGACUCAGAGACGAGAGGAAGAAGAGGAGCUACCGAAAACAGGCAAUGAGAGAAAGAAAGUGAGCAGAUGAGAAGUACAGACACCAAAAGUGUCUUGGGAUGAAAAUGAGAAGAAGCUGAAGAUUUGUCAUUUGCACUGUUACCAUUUUCUGUUGUAUUUUAAACCUUGGAGCUUUUAUGGAGGAGGAGGGCCCAGGCCAGGCAGCCUCUAGACCCAUUUCUCUUCCUUUUGCACUCUGUUCUCUGUGCCAGGAGGCUCAGCCACAUGGGCUGCAUCCAUUGACUCCUUCCACAAAGAUGCAUAGCUAAGUUCAGCUACUGGGAAGCCUUGACAAGACAAAGAGAGAGAAAAAGGAGGUUGGAACAUCUACUCCUCUGGUUCUCUCCUUAAGAAGUUGCCU